UUAAGAUUCAAAAUGACAGAAUAUUUAAUGUGACAGUUUUUCACAGAUUCUGGAUUUGAAGCUUGCAGCACGUUCCAAAAGAAAAAAGCUGGAAUGAGGGUGACGCAAGACUGGGAAAAACCACAGUACCCACUGGAAUAUGCAUACCCCCAUUUGAGAACCAAUCACCGAUAACACGUCAGCCCAAAAGCUGGAGGCAAAACCCUGUCGUUCACCUGAUCUCACCCUUCACAUUUGACUUGAUCAAUGGGGAGCUGUCCCCAUCAAGAGUCGCACUGUCAUCGUGCAGAUUAAUCAAGAUGUUGCCUGCAUGUGGAGUGGGCCGUCCUUAUGGUAAUCAGCCUGUAACUGGGAACGACCUGAAGGUGGUGAGAGACGACAGAGUGACUACAGUGCUGUGCCAGACCGUGUCAGGUCCGGCUGAGACGAGCCGGGUAUGGAUUCAUUGAUUGACAGCACGAGUGGAAGCUGCCAGGCUUGAGGCAUCGAGUCACUUCAGUCGAUUUGUCCUUGGCCGUCAGAGAGGACUGUGAUGACACACAGAAAGAGCUAUCAAAACACACAGUCAAUGUAAUGGAGUAAAGACACACUGAAAGUGAAGGCAACGCAAACAAUGACGGCGUGGCUUUGGGAAUGAUGCUAAAAUUAUUGGCAUCGUCUCCAAUGGCAGCUUCUCCUCAACAGGACGAGCUGAGCUGAGAGUUGGUUUAUUGUUCUGACAUUUAUCCUUGCAUUUAUAUAUGAAUUACAGAUUUGUCAGCAUAUAUGAGAGUCAAAAAGCCCUGAAUUAAUAACAACAUGUAUUUACUUUAAAUAUAUAUAAAAAAGGUAUUAGUUUUUACAUCCUCUAUUUGAAUAUAAAUGUAAGCACUUCUUUAAGUGGUGUUUCUAUCAGUCACAUCACUCUUUUUGGAGUAAAAAAAACCUGACGGAGAUCCAUCAAAUCCUUUCUCAAAACAUUCAUAAU